UGGCGACCGACGCACGGGUGAGUAACACGUAUCCAACCUGCCGAUGACUCGGGGAUAGCCUUUCGAAAGAAAGAUUAAUACCCGAUGGCAUAGUUCUUCCGCAUGGUAGAACUAUUAAAGAAUUUCGGUCAUCGAUGGGGAUGCGUUCCAUUAGGUUGUUGGCGGGGUAACGGCCCACCAAGCCUUCGAUGGAUAGGGGUUCUGAGAGGAAGGUCCCCCACAUUGGAACUGAGACACGGUCCAA
rnacentral:rRNA from 1 species